GUGCUCACUUUGGCAGCACAUAUACUAAAAUUGGAAUGAUACAGAGAUUAGCAUGGCCCCUGUGCAAGGAUGACAUGCAAAUUUGUGAAGUAUUCCAUAAUUUU
ensembl:snRNA Gm23570 predicted gene, 23570